rnacentral:piRNA from 1 species
UAGUGGAUGAGAAGCUUCUUC